ACAAGAACUAUCAAAACUGGUAUUCAUGGAAACUGUAGCUGACAGUGGUGUGUGCUUUGUAACAGAGAAUUGCUAUUAAUAGGAUGCCAUUUAAGACAUCAGCAACAGCAAGUUGCCGCCAACUACCAAGGCAGUUCAAAAACUAGAUCAUUAUGCUCCUAACUAUAUAGAAGGGAGACCAUGCCAAUAGAAAACACUAUAUAACUAAAGAUAAUCCUACCUCAAAAUAAGGUUAACUAGAAUUAGAAAAAUAUCAUAUAUCCAACAUAGUCUCAAGGAGGUGCUGCUCCAUCUUUGAUCUCAUACUUAGUAAGAAAGCUUGAUGUCAUGCUUAGGAAGGAAGACACUAGUAAGAGCUACCUUUGACUGGAGAGAGGCCUUCAACAAUUCCAGGCCCUGUUAAAAGGCACAAAGGAAAUUCGAUCAAGGUCUAUAUAUUGCAAUCAACAUGUUAUGAGUAAGGAAUAAAGAAGUAUUAGAUUAGUCUCUAUAUUCAGUUGUAAUUGUAGAAAGUAGUUGUGGCACCCAAAGUAGUAUAAAUAGGAACUUACUUGUAAAGAUAAAGAUAUCCAAGAUCAUUAGCAAUCAAAGAUAAACUCUUUCUCUCUACUUCUUAUCUUUCAUCUUUUCUAAUUCUCUCUAUUACUUCUCCCCUUUCUAUUUCUUUUCUCAGCCCAUUCUACUUCUCUCUCUUUCUCUCCCUAUUUCUCUGUUUCAAAAGGAAUUGCAAGUCUGUCAUGUAACAAGUGGUAUCAGAGCCAACGAUUUAGAGGCCUAAAUUCCAGGUUCUUUUCUUCUUCUUCUCCUCUCAGAUUUUCUUCUUCCUUCCUCCUUUUCCGAGAUUUC
rnacentral:lncRNA from 1 species